CAGUCGAACGAUGAAGCCCAGCUUGCUGGGUGGAUUAGUGGCGAACGGGUGAGUAACACGUGAGUAACCUGCCCCUGACUCUGGGAUAAGCGUUGGAAACGACGUCUAAUACUGGAUAUGACUACUGGUCGCAUGGCCUGGUGGUGGAAAGAUUUUUUGGUUGGGGAUGGACUCGCGGCCUAUCAGCUUGUUGGUGAGGUAAUGGCUCACCAAGGCGACGACGGGUAGCCGGCCUGAGAGGGUGACCGGCCACACUGGGACUGAGACACGGCCCAGACUCCUACGGGAGGCAGCAGUGGGGAAUAUUGCACAAUGGGCGAAAGCCUGAUGCAGCAACGCCGCGUGAGGGAUGACGGCCUUCGGGUUGUAAACCUCUUUUAGUAGGGAAGAAGCGAAAGUGACGGUACCUGCAGAAAAAGCACCGGCUAACUACGUGCCAGCAGCCGCGGUAAUACGUAGGGUGCAAGCGUUGUCCGGAAUUAUUGGGCGUAAAGAGCUCGUAGGCGGUUUGUCGCGUCUGCUGUGAAAUCCCGAGGCUCAACCUCGGGCUUGCAGUGGGUACGGGCAGACUAGAGUGCGGUAGGGGAGAUUGGAAUUCCUGGUGUAGCGGUGGAAUGCGCAGAUAUCAGGAGGAACACCGAUGGCGAAGGCAGAUCUCUGGGCCGUAACUGACGC
rnacentral:rRNA from 1 species